CCAUCCUGUGGUCCUGAAGAGGUGACUUGUGACCAUUAACAGCUGUUGCUGUCGAUUCUGUGCAGACAUUUCUGAAGUCCCUGGAUAAGUCAGGUGUGUGUAACAACACCCCUCCUUCCUGCCAUCUGAUCCUACCGAUUCAUCAAGGGCUCAAUGGCCUCCUCCGUGUUCCCGCUUUUCAAAGUGUGAGUCAGCCUCUCUAACUCUGGAUUACUGUCUAAUUUGAUCUGGUCAGUUCUGAAGAUAUUAGGUAAUAUUAGACCCAUCUCCGGC
rnacentral:lncRNA from 1 species